GACGGAGGAUGCAAGUGUUAUCCGGAAUCACUGGGCGUAAAGCGUCUGUAGGUGGUUUAAUAAGUCAACUGUUAAAUCUUGAGGCUCAACCUCAAAAUCGCAGUCGAAACUAUUAGGCUAGAGUAUAGUAGGGGGUAAAGGGAAUUUCCAGUGGAGCGGUGAAAUGCGUAGAUAUUGGGAAGAACACCUGAGGCGAAGGCGGGUUGCUGGGCCGACACUGACGCUGAGGCGCGAAAGCCAGGGGGAGCAAACGGG
rnacentral:rRNA from 1 species